rnacentral:rRNA from 1 species
GAUGAACGCUGGCGGCGUGCCUAAUACAUGCAAGUCGAGCGAACAGACGAGGAGCUUGCUCCUCUGACGUUAGCGGCGGACGGGUGAGUAACACGUGGAUAACCUACCUAUAAGACUGGGAUAACUUCGGGAAACCGGAGCUAAUACCGGAUAAUAUAUUGAACCGCAUUGUUCAAUAGUGAAAGACGGUUUUGCUGUCACUUAUAGAUGGAUCCGCGCUGCAUUAGCUAGUUGGUAAGGUAACGGCUUACCAAGGCGACGAUGCGUAGCCGACCUGAGAGGGUGAUCGGCCACAAUGGAACUGAGACACGGUCCAGACUCCUACGGGAGGAAGCAGUAGGGAAUCUUCCGCAAUGGGCGAAAGCCUGACGGAGCAACGCCGCGUGAGUGAUGAAGGUCUUCGGAUCGUAAAACUCUGUUAUUAGGGAAGAACAAAUGUGUAAGUAACUAUGCACGUCUUGACGGUACCUAAUCAGAAAGCCACGGCUAACUACGUG